GGGAAUCCGGUGGGAGUCCGGAACGGUCGCGCCACUGUGAGCGGCGAUCCCCGAUCGACGUGAGUCAGAGUGCC
rnacentral:ncRNA from 1 species